AGAGUUUGAUCCUGGCUCAGAAUGAACGUUGGCGGCAUGGAUUAGGCAUGCAAGUCGUACGUGAAGGGGAGCUUGCUCCCCCGAUCAGUGGCGAAAGGGAUAGUAACGCGUAGACACCUACUUCUGGACGGGGAUAGCUGCGGGAAACUGCAGGUAAUACCCGAUGAUGACGAGAGUCCAAGGUGUAAUUCCUUCAGAAGACGGAUCUGCGUCCUACCAGAUAGUUGGCGGGGUAACGGCCACCAAGUCUAAGACGGGUAGCGGGUGUGAGAGCAUGACCCGCAUCACUGGGACUGAGACCUGCCCAGACACCUACGGGUGGCUGCAGUCGAGAAUCUUCGUCAAUGGGCGAAAGCCUGACGAGCGAUGCCGCGUGCAGGAUGGAGGCCUUCGGGUUGUAAACCGCUGUCGAAUUGGAGGAAUGCAUAGUGUAGAAUUAUGCUUGACUGAUAGUAGAAGGAAGGACGGGCUAAGUUCGUGCAGCAGCCGCGGUAACACGAACCGUCCAAACGUUAUUCGGAAUCACUGGGCUUAAAGGGUCGUAGGCGGCGUUUUAAGUAAGGUGUGAAAUCCCACGUCUCAACCGUGGAACUGCGCUUUUACUGGAAUGCUUGAGUAAGAUAGAGGUAAGCGGAACUGAUAGUGGAGCGGUGAAAUGCGUGAUAUUAUCAGGAACACCAGUGGCGAAAGGCGGCUUACUGGGUCUUAACUGACGCUGAUCACGAAAGCUAGGGUAGCGAAGAGGAUUAGAUACCCUCGUAGUCCUAGCCGUAAACACUGGCGCUGGGUGGGAGGAAGCUCCAUUUUUUCCUGCCGUAGAGAAAUUGUUAAGCGCUCCGCUGGG
rnacentral:rRNA from 1 species